rnacentral:rRNA from 1 species
AUUGUUCAACGGCCGCGGUAUCCUAACCGUGCGAAGGUAGCGUAAUCACUUGUUCUUUAAAUGAGGACUAGUAUGAACGGCUUCACGAAGGCUAUACUGUCUCCCUUAUCUAAUCAGUUAAACUAAUCUCCCCGUGAAGAAGCGGGGAUUCACAUAUAAGACGAGAAGACCCUAUGGAGCUUAAAACACCUCUAAACAUUUGACCUCCACACUACUAUUUUCAGAAAUCUUUACAAAGCCCGUCAUUUUGUUUUAAGUUUUAGGUUGGGGUGACCGCGGAGAAUAACCUAACCUCCACGUAGAAAGAACUUUCUUUUCUAAGCAAAAAGCUACAUCUUUAUGCAUCAACAUAUUGACCUAAUUGACCCAAUUAUUUGAUCAACGAACCAAGUUACCCUAGGGAUAACAGCGCAAUCCGCUUUAAGAGCUCCUAUCGA